GUCACACCUAUGCUCAGAUCUGGACAACCACCAUUUGAUCAGUCAAGAAAAACUACUCUGCAGAAGUCUAAUCCUGCAACACACAUCCCCAUGAGUGACUCUUUCUGAUGCGAUUACUGCCAUUAGUCAAUGGGCGUAUUCAGGCAGAUGCAGCACUGGGCAUGGGUGGGACAGAAUUCCAUCACCAUCAAAUAUUAUAUCUGGACCCAGCAGAGAAGGAUAUACAGACACAAAGCAGCUCAUUAAGCUGCCAUGGAAAACACCUAUUGUUCUGGUUACAACAUGGAACGUAACACAAAGGCAUUGCAAAGAGACGAGAAAGGCAGAAGAUCUUUCCCGCUGGUCAUUUCCAUAGCACAGAACAGCCCCAAGCUGAUUGAGUGAUCCCUAUGCCACCCACCUUGCAGCUUU